UACCAUAGAUAUACUCUGUGAUAAUUAUAUCAAAAAUCAAAAUAUGAUCAAAAUCUGAGGAUCAAAAUGCAAAAACCACUCAAAAACCGUAUAUAAAAACACGACAAAAACCUUACAAAAACUAUUAAUUAUGUAAAACUACUAUCGACCACUUUUUAUUUAUCGCGAUGGUCUAAGGGAGAAAACCUUACAAGUAUCAAAAUGCCUUCACUAUUUGUUCGAAUAAUUACAGAACUAACUGAAUUAAACACGCAAGACUCGUUGUAAUUCCCUGACACAAUGGCUGACUCCGAAGAGGCACCCCAGUGUCCCUGUUGUCGCGUGAUUGUGAAUUCUGAACCUAUAGUCGAUGAAGAUUCUAGUGAAUUACCAACCAAAUCCCAGGCCAGACCCGCCCCUGAAACUCCCGAAGACGAUGACUAUGAAACGCAACCACGUAAAGAUGAUGGAAUAGAAAUAACAGAACCAAGAAAGCCCUGCUAUUCAAAAUUAUGCCCUAAAGAUCCUAUUAUAGUACUUAAUGAGCAACCUGCUGGCAAAAAACAUCAAUUUUUACUAUGUGAUAGGAAGGACGCGUGCAAAACAGCCUUGAGUGAUACAAUUGAUACUAAUGAUCCUAAGCGUUAUCAACAAGAAAGAGAAUCACCAAUUUUUGGAGAGCAGACUGUAGAGACUGUCAAAAAUGCGUUUGAUGUAAUAUGUAAGAAAUCUAAAAGUUUGUUUGUUGUUAUGCAAAAAUCUAACAUUGAUGUAAAUGAAAAUUCAACUGAAAACAUAGCAGCGCCAGAGGCAAAUAAGAAAAUAGAUUUUGUAGAAGUUAGCUCCCCAAACUUAGCUAAAGAUGCCAUAACUGUAAUGGAAAAUACAAAAUCAACGAUCUGCACAAAGUUGAAUUCAGCCCUAGAAAAAAUAACACAAAAUCUUCCCGAACAAAAAGAUAUAUUUUCAAUGAAAGAUAGAGUUAAUGAUCAGCCCUCAAACUAUGACGUUCCAGUGAUAAAGUCUGAUCUGAUGACCCCAACUUCUUCAAAUGGAGUUUUAAAACAAAUUAAAAGUAAAAUCAGCUCUUUUUUCGGUGAAAAAUAAAUGAUCAUUAUCAAUAUUCCUAAACACAAAGAAAUAGUUAAAAAUAUAUUAUGUCUUCAUCUACACGGUUUUCACUCAGUAGUUGGUAAUCAACUCAAUAGAGGAAGGCAGCAAUUCUUGAAUAUAGAUAAGUAAUUCUAGAAGAACAUAAUAAUAAAAACGAAUACUUACUUAAAAAAGCUACUGCCACUAAUGACAACAAAGGAUUAAAUAACUCUAAAGAGAAUGGAUUCUUCUAAAAAAAGUAUGAAAAAAUGCAAAAAUAAGAAAUAUUCACUAACAGUAGCUAGUAGCUCUGAUAAUGAAGAUGAAGAAGAUUUGAAUAAAUUUACUAUUGGUAAAGGUAUAGAAAAGAAAAUAUACUGGCACCCAUGUGAUGGUAAACCCCCACCUUGUGACCCUGAAGAAAGGCUGUGCAAAGAGCCGAUCCUUUGUUUAGGAAAACUCAAAAAUCCUGCAUUGCCUGGAGAAAUUACAAAGUGCCUUCCCGGAGCGUCUGUGAGUGUUGGUGCUUGCGGAGGCAAAAGCGAAAAUGGAAAUAAAGAACAAGAAGAUAAUAACGAAAAUGAAGUAAAUCAAAGUACUCCUCAUCAUCCUUGUGAUGAGAGUGAGGCCAAAGUUUGUGCAGCUAAUAGAGGCGCUUGCUAUCCUCCUCAUCUGAUAAAAGAUAAAAUUAAAAACCCAGAACCAGACGGAGUUGUGAAAAUUCAAUCAAAGUGUACUUAAUUUAUUGAUACAGUUUAAAUAAAUUAAAUUGGAAAUUAUAAUUAUAGUAUGGUUUUACAUUCA